rnacentral:rRNA from 1 species
CCUACGGGAGGCAGCAGUGAGGAAUAUUGGUCAAUGGGCGAGAGCCUGAACCAGCCAAGUCGCGUGAGGGAGUACUGCCCUAUGGGUUGUAAACCUCUUUUGUCGGGGAGCAAAAGCCGGACGUGUCCGGCUGUGAGAGUACCCGAAGAAAAAGCAUCGGCUAACUCCGUGCCAGCAGCCGCGGUAAUACGGAGGAUGCGAGCGGUAUCCGGAUUUAUUGGGUUUAAAGGGUGCGCAGGCGGAGUUUUAAGUCAGCGGUAAAAUCGUGGGGCUCAACCCCAUCCAGCCGUGGAAACUGGGGAUCUAGAGUGUGCGAGAGGUAUGCGGAAUGCGUGGUGUAGCGGUGAAAUGCAUAGAUAUCACGCAGAACCCCGAUUGCGAAGGCAGCAUACCGGUGCACAACUGACGCUCAGGCACGAAAGCGUGGGUAUCGAACAGGAUUAGAUACCCUAGUAGUC